AUUCCAAUUUAAAUAUUCAGAAUUAGCAGAAUUGAGAUUGAGAUUGGAAAAGGGCAGUUCUAAUUCGAAGACAAGAACAGAGGAGGCUGUGGUGGAUCCUUCUGGUGGCAGCUUGGACGGCGGCAGAGAAACUCGUGGUGACCGAAUAUCC